UACGGAGGGUGCAAGCAUUAAUCGGAUUUACUGGGUGUAAAGAGCGCGUAGGCGGGUAAGCAAGUCAGAUGUGAAAUUCCGGAGCUCAACUCCGGAGCUGCAUUUGAAACUACUUAUCUUGAGGGUGGACGGAGAAAACGGAAUUCCACAUGUAGCGGUGAAAUGCGUAGAUAUGUGGAAGAACACCGGUGGCGAAAGCGGUUUUCUAGUUUAUUCCUGACGCUGAGGCGCGAAAGCUAGGGGAGCAAACAGG
rnacentral:misc_RNA from 1 species